rnacentral:misc_RNA from 1 species
GUGAAUCAUCGAAUUUUUGAACGCAAAUUGCACUCUCCGGUUUUCCGGGCUAGUAUGCCUGUUUGAGGGUCUGUUUAAAAAAUAAUCGAGGCUGCUGCUGUGGUGUCUCUUCGGCAUUGGGUCAUCUUUCACCUUUCGCUUGUAAGCGACCUAAAAUUUUUUUUUACGAUUUCUACGAACGUGUCGAAGAAUUUCUUAUACGUUCACGACAUCGAAAUCAUAUUAGGGGUUACCGCCGCGUCGGGUUCUCUCCCAUACUAUGUCAUCUAAG